rnacentral:rRNA from 1 species
CACCUACGGGGGGCAGCAGUGGGGGAUAUUGCACAAUGGGGGGAGCCCUGAUGCAGCGACGCCGCGUGAGGGAAGACGGCCUUCGGGUUGUAAACCUCUGUCGCAGGGGACGAAGGAGAUGACGGUACCCUGUGAGGAAGCCACGGCUAACUACGUGCCAGCAGCCGCGGUAAUACGUAGGAUGCGAGCGUUAUCCGGAUUUAUUGGGUUUAAAGGGUGCGUAGGCGGAUUUUUAAGUCAGCGGUAAAAUGUCCGGGCUCAACCCGGGCCGGCCGUUGAAACUGGGGAUCUUGAGUGGGCGAGAG